rnacentral:rRNA from 1 species
AUACAUUAUCGUGAACUGCGAAUGGCUCAUUAAAUCAGUUAUCGUUUAUUUGAUAGUACCUUACUACUUGGAUACCUGUGGUAAUUCUAGAGCUAAUACAUGCUAAAAACCUCGACUUCGGAAGGGGUGUAUUUAUUAGAUAAAAAACCAAUGCCCUUCGGGGCUCCUUGGUGAUUCAUAAUAACUCAACGAAUCGCAUGGCCUUGCGCCGGCGAUGGUUCAUUCAAAUUUCUGCCCUAUCAACUUUCGAUGGUAGUAUAGAGGACUACCAUGGUUUCUACGGGUAACGGGGAAUUAGGGUUCUAUUCCGGAGAGGGAGCCUGAGAAACGGCUACCACAUCCAAGGAAGGCAGCAGGCGCGCAAAUUACCCAAUCCCGACACGGGGAGGUAGUGACAAUACAUACUGAUCCAGGGCUCUUUUGGGUCUUGGAAUUGGAAUGAGUACAAUUUAAAUCCCUUAACGAGGAACAAUUGGAGGGCAAGUCUGGUGGACACUUAGUGUUCCAGCAAUAAAGGUUUCACAACCUGCUGCUGACGCCAGUCACAGAUUGCAUCUUGGGGUCCAGGAGAAUGGGCCCUUGAUGUAAUUUAGUGGGCUUUCGCCCGCAAGGUAUCCGGCUCGGGGAAUGGCUCUGUGAGCCUUAUCCCGUGGCUGUGAGCGAAUCCGCUCCAGCCUUAACGCGCGCUAGGACGCCGGUGGUCUCCUGUGGAGACUAUCUAAGGUACGUGCUAAUCCCGCCUGUAAAGGGUCUGCGACACUGAUCUUCAAGUGUCGCGCAGGGAGAAAAGGCGCCCUUUGGGGCACCUUUUGUUUUAUGGCCAGCAGCCGCGGUAAUUCCAGCUCCAAUAGCGUAUAUUAAAGUUGUUGCAGUUAAAAAGCUCGUAGUUGAAACUUGGGUCUGGCUGACCGGUCCGCCUCACCGCGUGCACUGGCUUGGCCGGACCUUUCCUUCUGGGGAACCGCAUGGCCUUCAUUGGUCGUGUUGGGGAUCCAGGACUUUUACUUUGAAAAAAUUAGAGUGUUCAAAGCAGGCCUAUGCUCGAAUACAUUAGCAUGGAAUAAUAGAAUAGGACGUGUGGUUCUAUUUUGUUGGUUUCUAGGACCGCCGUAAUGAUAAAUAACGAAAAGGUUUCAACCAUUACGGAGGAAGGGAGGAAAGCCCCUGGGUGCAGCCCCCCUCCCCCGGAAAGGUUUGUUUUUGAGGCGAUAUAGAGUCUCAGGUCAUGCGAGCAGCUGUCACCAUACUGGCAACCUCUAUCUAUAUCGCCCAUCCACUUUCCUUGAAGUCGUGUUGUUGUUUGAAGAAGAAAUGCAAAUAGGAAGAACCUUUUGUAGAGGUUUGAAGCUCACUAGCGCGCCCUGACGCCCGUUGGCCGCACAUUCACAUACAACACAUCACUUCGUUCCUUCACCUUUCCCAGAGCAUGACAUUGGUACUAUUGAGACUGAUCUUCGAGAAGACCUCUACUUGAGCUUUAAUCCAUCGGAUAAUGAAAUUCAUCUGAUUUACGGGAGCCUGCGGCUUAAUUUGACUCAACACGGGGAAACUCACCAGGUUAACCACAGAAGUUAUAGUCUGGGCCUGGUAAUACAAGACAUUCGCUCUUGUCAGUACUGCCUCAUUGGGCGGUGCAACACAUGCUGGCACAGGGAACCUUACUCCAAUGGAGUGAUCGAUCCUGUGGUGAGCCCGAGUCAUUCGGACCGCCGCAACGCGCGCCACGCAGUGGGCUACUCCGCCUCGGAGUAACUUUGAUAUACGUGCUAAACCCAAGCGAGAGCUUGCUCCUGGGACUUCGCAGAAGUUUAGGAGGGCCUUAGAAUGUUGUUGCAUCCAAAGGUUGGAAAAUGCCAGACACAAUAAGGAUUGACAGAUUGAGAGCUCUUUCUUGAUUUUGUGGGUGGUGGUAGAACAACUCAUGUGCCACCUACAGCUGUUGUUAUAAGCUAGUCCGUUGGAUCGGGCGACAUUCUCCAAGUGCUGGAAGCCUUCUCUGUAGAGAGGUAUCAGCAGCCUCGUACUCCUCGCGGAGAUACGCUGGCACACAGACUACGUGAGAGUGGACCAAAGCUUGCAGGUUAAGAUCUCCUGGGAGAGGUUGACCUUGAAGAAAGUGCUUGGUCAUAAGAUAUAGUCGAACCCGAAGCUUCAAGGCUUUCGGUAUCCAGUGGCA